rnacentral:rRNA from 1 species
GAUAAACGCUAGCGGCAGGCUUAACACAUGCAAGUCGAGGGGCAGCAUAGACUGUAGCAAUACAAUUGGUGGCGACCGGCGCACGGGUGCGUAACGCGUAUGCAACCUACCCGUCACAGGGGGAUAAUCCGGAGAAAUCUGGUCUAAUACCCCAUAACAUAUGGAUCGGCAUCGGUUCAUGUUGAAAUUGUCGGAGGUGACGGAUGGGCAUGCGUAGCAUUAGCUUGUUGGUGAGGUAACGGCUCACCAAGGCGACGAUGCUUAGGGGGACUGAGAGGUUUUCCCCCCACACUGGUACGGAGACACGGACCAGACUCCUACGGGAGGCAGCAGUGAGGAAUAUUGGUCAAUGGGCGCAAGCCUGCACCAGCCAUGCCGCGUGCAGGAUGACGGCUCUAUGAGUUGUAAACUGCUUUUGUACGAGGGUAAAGUGGGUUACGUGUAACCUUUUGAAAGUAUCGUACGAAUAAGGAUCGGCUAACUCCGUGCCAGCCGCCGCCGUAA